CAUAGACUCUAACAAUUGAGGAGGGAGUCACCUUCCAUUCUUGAAUAGUAGAAUAUCAUCAAUUCAUGUACUGAAAGAAAUAUAUGCUGUAUCUGUUUCCAGAUAUUGAGUUUUGCUUAGAUAUUUGUCAUAUUUUGCAUACUUUCUCAUAAAUAACAAUUUUGAAUAUUGAGUAUGAGAAAGUGCUACUGAUCCCUUUCAUGUAAAGGUAAAUUAGAUUAUUUUUUUUUUCAUUCUUAAAAAGAAAAUAGAGAUGUGUAAACAGAAAAACUUGUCACUUCCAGUGACAGUUUUUCAAAUUCUUCAGUGGUUUGGAAAGCAGGUUGAACUUUCACUUGAAUAUCAGGUUAACUCCAUGACACUGACAUCAGACUGACCCAUAAAUUUUGCAGCACUACACAUCCCAUAGAUGUGGAUCAGCUUCAAAUAAUUAAACUGUGAGACGGAGCUCUGGGAAAGGAUGUAUUUAAGCAACUGGAUUAUUUUGGAAGAUAAACAAAUAUCCCUGCCACAAGACAAAGACGACCCGCUUGUGGAAAACUACAACAUGGGGUCUGAGAUGAGAAGUCCCAACAGAAAGAUCAAAGAAGGAGACAACUCAGGAGCCCAAGGUAGCCCAAGUCCAAAUUUUUUCAGCUUCAGUUUGUAGCCACUGGUGUCUUCUGUCUGUCUGCUAAACUGAAGAAUCUUCUAGAGUGGAACUUUUCCAUGCCCCAUGAACUUCCUUCCCCAGUCCGUUCAAAACUGCUGUGGAAAACAAUCUUUCUUUUUGACGAUGCUAUUAUAAAGUCUAUC